CUGAUCUUGCCUCAUUGAAACACAAAAAUAUUCCUAGAAGACAUAUUAUCCACAACAGGCUUUUCCCCCUCAUCUCGUGAUAUGUCAAUUAAUAAUUGAAUUUUCUCUGUCUUGUUUAUUAAAUUGAAUUUUAAUUUUGUGCCAUUCAAGUUUGAUCUUUUUCUAUGAAUACUUUCCUUCAAAAUGAUAAAUUUCUUUGGCAAAACCUUUUCUUUAUUUUGAGUACAUGAACCUUUCUUUAGCAUUUACUUGAAUAUGAAAUACGAUUGUCUUCUUCUUCCUUGGUC